GUUACAUCUUCCAAUCGGAGCCAAAUCGACUUAAGAGAUGGAGCUCAGCUAAAUCUUCGCUUCAAUUGAGCAAUCUGAAGGUGAUGGAGUGUAGAGCCGAGAGACAUUGAGAUGCUGAUUUGGCCCAUGAAUAUGUGAGAUGAUGAAAUAUUGGUUUUUGGACAAAAGUAUCAUUUUUUAUGUAGUAUCCAGUCCAGAUAAACAAUUUCCCGUUCCAACUCUAUGUAGAUGCAUGCUAUACUAGGUGAAAUUGUUAGUGUGUGUAUGAGCAUUUUCUGUACAUUUGAGGAGAAAGUUUGCAUAUUUUCGAAUUAGAAAUACAUCAAGACGGUGCCUUAGCUUGCUUCUGGCAAAUUUAUUGUCAGUGACUGAAUGUUCAAUCAUUAA